CUACUACUCCCUCCAUGUGAAAAUACUUGUCACAAAAAUGGAUAUAUUUAGAUGUAUUUUAGUUUUAGAUACAUCUAUUUUUAUCCAUUUGUGCGACAAGUAAUUCCAGACGGAGUGAAUAUGUU
rnacentral:pre_miRNA from 1 species